AAGGCCUUGUUAAUAUUGUUAGCACAAGGUUUAAAUCCCAUGGGGAACAGGUUCUUGUACUAGAGGGUAUCAUCUAUCCAACCGUUUUAGAAAUCUGAUAGUUGUGGGGGUGGGAGAAAAAGUGAUCUACUACCCUCCAGUGGGUAGUAGCGCUGAAAUCGUUGCCACAUGUACUUCAGUAGAACUAACAGUCAGGCCUUGCUGUUUUAGGUGCAACAGAUAAUCCAAUCUGGUUAAUGGGAGCCUGCACUGGAGAGACACUUCUCUGUUGAGACCAGGACUCUGGGUACUAAUGGAAUCGGAGGAAAGGCAAACAGCCGUGAGUUCAUCCGUGAUAGCUGAAAAGCAUCUGUCAAAGACCCAGGUCUGGAAUUCUCUCAGCAGCAGAACAGGAGGCAUUUGUUGCAAACAGGUCCAUGUGAGAAGUUUCCCCAGAGCUGGAAGAUGAGCCUAGCCACAUCUGGACCUAGUGACCAUUCAUGGUGAGGGGACAAAGACCUGCUCAGCUGAUCUACUGAUGUGUUCUGCUCUCCUGGGAGGUAUCCUUCUGGCACAGUUGGGAGGAACAUGCCCUUCCCUGUCUGUUUACAUAAAGCAUAGUUGCUAUAUUGUCCUUUAACACUAACAGAUUUUUUUCCCAGAAUAUAUGGCUAGAAGGCAGAGCAGGAUAGAUGGAUAGCACAUAGUUCCCUGACAUUAAUAUGAGUCCUCAGCUCCUGCAAGGACCACUACCCUUGAGUUUGUAGGGUUCCGAUAGGUGCCCCCCAACCCAGGGACGAGGCAUCCGUGACCCACAUAAGCGUUGGUUGCAGAGAAAUGAAGGGCACUCCCAUACAAACAGUCUGAGGGUCUGUCCACCAGUCCAGAGAGGACAAAAUUACCUCUGCAAUGCAAAUUUCUCUGUCUAGACGAUGACAACAGGGGGCAUCCUUGAAGCUUCCUGAGGCAUAAUCAGGUGUGUUACGUCAUGUGGGUACAUGCUGCCAUGUUCCCCAGAAGUCUGAGGCAAGCAUGCACUGUAGUAAUGGGAUGUGCUUUUAGAUCCAGUACCAGAUCUCAGAGCAGUUGGAACCUUGACGGGGGCAGAAAUGCUCUGGUUUGUAUAGCAUCCAGGAGUGCUCUGAUAAACUAUUCUUUGCACAGGUUUUUAGAAUUGAUCUGACUUGACAGAGUAAUAGACGCAGUACAUUGAGGGUGGACUGAAUGAUACCCACACUGGAUAGCACUUGAGAGUUCAGCCAGUCUGUCACCAACCAAUCAUCCAGGUGGGAAGUGCACGGAUUCCCAAUCCUCUCAGAUAUACAACUACCUUACCUUGCACAUUGUGAAAACUCAAGGGGCUGCUGCUGACAGACCAAAUUGAAGUAGUGUAAAUUGGUAAUGUGUUUCAUUUGCUAGGAACAUGAUGAACUUCCAGUGGUCUAGACAGAUCACUAUAUGGAAGUAAGUGUCUUUUAAGUCAAGGGCAGCAUACCAGUGGCCCUGUUCAGGGAAGGAAUGAUGGUAGCUAGGGUAACCAUGGGGAUCUUCAUUUUCUUCAGGUACUUGUUUAACUCCCUUAGAUCUAAAAUACCCCCUUUUGUUUUGGGAAUUAAGGAAAUAGCAGGAAUAAAAACUGUUCCCCCUGAGGAGUAGAGGAACUUCCUCUACUGCACCCACUGGAAGGAGAGAUUAAACCUGUUGUAAAACGGUCUCCUGAGAGUGGUCCUUGAAGAGGGAUGGAGAAGGGGGAGGAUAGAAACAAAUUGAGGUCAAUAUCCCACAUCCACCAUGCUUAGGACCCACCGAACUGAUGUGACAUGAGUCUAAGCACAGAGGAAGUCGUAAAGACAAUAGGCCAAGGUAAGGGUAGGAACAGAUUCAUCUGUAAGUAUUGAUACGCUGCCUUUGACAAGCCUGUCAAAAAUGCAUGUUUAGACUGGGCCAUUGGUUGAGAGGAAUCUGCUGUCGCAGAUGAGAGAGGCGGUGGUCAAUUUCUAUAAUUCCUGUCCCUUUUUUUUUUGGCAGGUCUUGGGGCUGAGGUAUAAAGCUCUGAUAUCUGUGAGCCUUCUGGGGCCAGAAUUGCUUCCUCUUCAUUGCCAGUGUAUAAAUUCCAAGGGACUUCAGUAUUGCCCUGGAAUCUUGUAAGCUAUGCCAUCUAUUGUCCAUCGUUUCUGAAAAGAGGGAUGGACCCUCAAAUGGCAAAUCCUAGAUGGUCUGCUGUACUUCAGGAGGGAGACCAGAAGAUUGCAGCCAUGAACUUCUCCUCUUAGAAAUAGCAGAUGUCAUGGAACAAGCUACUGAGUCUGCAGCAUCCUAACUGUUGUGAAUAGCUGUCCUUGCACCCCCGCUUACCCUCCUCUACCAUGAGUGAGAACCUGCCUGGAAUCCUCUGGUAGCCUGUCUUUAAACUUCAGGAUGUUUUCUCAUAGGGUAAAAUCAUAGCAAUUUAGGAGGGCUAGCUGGUUAACAAUUCUUGGCUGCAGACCUUCUGUUGAAUAAGUUUAUGACCAAACAGGUCCAGCCUCUCUGAUUUCUUACUCUUUGGCGUCAAUGCUUGGUGACCCUGACUCUCCUGCUCAUGAGCUGCUGCCACCACCAAAGGGCCUGGGGGUGUGUGAGAGUAGAGGGGUUUGAAGCCCUUAGAAGGGACACAGUAGCUCCUCUGUGCAUAUUUCGCUGUAGGCGGGAGGGAAGAAGGGGUCUGUGAAAGUGUUUUAACCAGUUCCAGAAUUGCUUCAUUACCUCAGAAGUACCACUCUGGCAGGUCUCACAGAAGCUAAAGUAUCCACUAGCAUGGGGGAUUUGUCACAGACCGAUUCCACUUGAAUGUCUAAAACCAAGGCCACCCUUUUAAGCCGUUCUUGGUGAGUAUUGUAAUGCCCUGGUGAUGGAGAAUUGCUCACCAUCUCUACAGCCUCAUCAGGUGAUAAGGAAAUGACACACCAGGAUGCUGAGGCAAUGGCUGGUUUGCCACUUGCGGUGUAGGAACUGCCUGAGCAACUUCUAGUUGCUCAGUACCAGGCAUCAGAGAAAGUUUCCUGUGAUGCCAGUGAUCUUGGUGCAUCCUUGAGGAAAUAGACUCAGGUGAGGAAAGGUCCUAGCAGAGGGAGGGACACCCCUCGGUGGCCAGACCUGGUGACGGUGGGCCCCAUGGUUGUGCAUGCCAUUGUCCCUUGUGACAUGUCCGCUGCGGGGACGUCCAGGGCUCUGAUGGAAGGUAAAGUUCUUGUCUGGUAUGAGACACAAAAGACUCCACUUCCAAGUCCAACAAAGAUGACUGAGUCCUACGGUAAUGGAGGAGCAGAACCCAUGUGGACAGGAGACAGGUAAGUGAACCCAGAGACAGCAGUGCCGGGGAUAUUAACAACCGCUUGACCCUGGAGUGCACUGGCCUCCGAGGCACCAGGAGCAGCAUCAGUAAUCCAUGCUCUUGCGGAGCUGGCAUAGGCACUACAGACACUGGUACUGGCUGGAACCCUUCCUGCAUCACCAGGGACAUUGGUAUUGAGAGGUUAAGUAAUUCUCUGGCGACAGUAUAUGCUUCUGGCAUUGCUGGUAUCAGGAUUGGGUCUGACAAAUAGAAACUUCAGGGGCUGGCCUUGGCAGACAUGGCACAGGUUCUGGAGUAGACACACCCCCUAUUGCAGCAGAGGCGUACUGUGGGGAACGCUUCUCCUCAGAAUCCCUCCCAGAGAUCUUGCUUUUAUCUGGCCUCUGUUAUGAAGAUCUUGCUGGACGAAGUACUGUGUCCUUGGCAGAUCUGUCUCCUCUUCAGUACCAGAGACAGAAUGUGGUGCCAAAGACCUCUCAGGAAGCACACGUUGCAUCAAUAGUGCCGCACUUGGAGUGCGCUCUAAACCCAACGACUCCCAGGGAGGGCAAAGUGCCACCUCCAUAAGGUGACAAAUCUCACUGUUCUGUCUCUUUUUGAGCAAGGCUUAAAUCAUCUGCAAAUGUGACACUUGUCACUGAUGUGGGACUCCCCCAGACAUCUUAGGCAGCUGGGAUGUGGGUCACAGACCAGCAUCGGUCUGGCACACGACCAGCAGGACUUGAACUCCAGCGAGCGAGACACAGCUCCAGUCCCAGUAUCAAAUAAUCAGACUUGGUCCAAAAGGGACCCAAACAACUAAAACCUAAUAUUAACGCUACGCUAUAUCUAAUUAACUACUAAGUACUAAAUGAGAAACAAACUAUAUACAAAAAGGGCGAGGAAAAUAAACUUGCCAUCGUAAUACUGGAUGGAAGCGCUCCAACAACCAUCACUGGCGAUAAGAAGGAACUGAGGGGGUCAGGGGCGGCUCCGCCCUCUUAUACUGGCACAUGGUGAUGCACAGAUGUAGCGGGCACUUGAGCUGCCCCAACAGGUACCACUGCGGGGAAAAGUUCUCCAAUAACUGUGCAUGAGGCGCACACUCACGUACAGUGAAUGGACAUGUGCAAUCACUCAGAGAACCCCUUUGUUGUAUUCAGAGUUGCACAUAGUUGCUUAACUAAAGAAAGAUUUUAAUGGGAUUUACUCGUUAGCUCUGCUAAGUCACUUUUCAGUGCCCAUCCAUCUAGAUUCUUGUACUGUGCCCAUCACAAUAGUAUCCAAGCUUUAUGUGGUGAUUAGGCAUUUAUAAGAUGCCUCUAAAACAUUGUCAUAGAUAUCUGACUCUUGAGUGAGCUGAAUUCUAGUUGAGGUGAAGAGUCAUCAACACAAUAGUUAAAAAUACUGCAACUGGAACUCGAUUAUGGUUGAUGAUGCACAAGCCAACAAGAACUCGUCUGACUUCCACAUCCCACUGCAGUCUGCAGUGCUAGCAUCUGCUUAGUUUACAAGCUGGAUUUCAUUUUUCAGGCUCACUGUGUAUAGAUACAUGCUCAGAUAGUAUAGUGCCUUAUAAGAGGCUAGCUAGGUAGGCAUGAGAGAAUCAUGGAAUCCCAUGAAGCUCUAUUUUUGGUCACCUUUCAGACUAUAGCCACAAGUUAAGUAAAUACCAUUCUGAUUUGAUACACCUUGAACUAUUGACUUGUAUGUAAUUUUCGCACUUAGAAAUUCAAAUAAAAGACUAAUUUCUUUUAAUGGCAUUUUA